AGCUCCAGAGGAAUCAGAGGAGGUUGUUGUAAUAUGUGACUUCACCACUAGAUGGCCCUCCACACCGAUUGUGUUUGUUCACAUGAACAAUGUGUUUAUUGAAAUGACACAACACAAGCAGAAUAUAUAACCCCUCUAUAAAGCGUCACAUAUGUGUUUAAGUUUCCUUUAUUCUGUCCCACCUUUGUCCCUCAGUCUGUCUCCAUGUGUGUAGAACCACAUUCUGUUUGUUUAUGAGCUGAAAGUUCCUGGAUUCACGUCACAAAUUGAUUUAGUUCAACACAAAGUUAAACACAAUCAAAUCACUUUGAGUUUAAAAUCAGAGUUUUGUCUUUGACACAAAAGAUCAAAACUUUUUAAGUUCAAACACACAAUGAGCAGAAGAAGAAUCUGAUCUAAUCUUCAGCUGUUUCACAAGACGUUCAUUAACUAAGUAGUUUCAGGUUUAGUUUAGGCCAGGUUUAAGUUAAGGUUAGUUUAAGUUUAGGUUAGUUGAAGUUUGUGUUCAGCUCAGGUUCAGGUUAGUUUAACCUCUUUCUCUCCCUCAACGCAUGUUUGAGGUAAACCGGAGCAGAGUGAGACAUCUGUCUAACUUACGACCAUUUCUGAAAUGAGAAUAUUUAUUUGUGUUAUUUGUUCUUAAAGAGUUUCGAGGCUUCAGCAGCAGAGGAGUGAGAAGAGAAAAGAGUUUUUAUCUGAUGAUUGACAAAGAGAAAACUACAGGAUAUCACAAGACUUAGUGUGGAAAUGAGGACGGGAAAGUGUCUCCGUCUGAUUUCUGUCUUUAAGAGACGAGUUGGAGAGUGGGGGUGCAAGGAGGAAUUAGAGAUAAUAACAGUUUAAAGAUGUCUCACGUUGAAUCAUUGAUUGAUCCUGAGUUUUAUUCAUGUUCAGGUGAGUGUAGUUUAGUUGUUGACCUCUGAUAUAAAAGUUCAGGCGACGCAGCUUCGGUUGAAAUACAGGAACUAACACACUGUGUCUUUUUGUUUCUCAGAUCAAAUACUUUUGUGUUUUUAACGAUGAAUCACAGUUUUCAGGUCGUUGUCUCCUCCAGACAGUGACAGUUUCUGGAGCGUGAACAGACUGUGUGAGGACGUCCGGCCUCCAGGUUUCCGUACGUCGCAGAGUAUUUUGAUACACGGCUCCCGUCUACGUUCUGGACAGAAAUAUUUGACUCUUGUACUUGUAUGUGUCCAGUACAUCCAAGUGUUUUCUGGCUCUGUUGUCUUGCUGUGUGGAUUUGCAUCCCAGUCUUGUACUGAGUAAAACCUCCGUCAGCCAUGAGACGUCAUUUUAGCCGGAGAGUCUUUUGCCUUUUGUAUGUUUGAUUGUUUCAUAAAUACUCGAUGCAGUAGAAUAUAAUUUACUGAGUAUUCACAUGUUAACUGUGUUGGUUUUUGAUGGCAUUUUAGAAAAACUUUUAUUUUCCUGCAUUAAGCUUCUUUUUCUUCUAAUGUCACCAGUGUUAAGUUUUUGAUUUAGUGUGUGUGAUGACGGAUUAUACUAAGUUUAUUUACAUUUUAUUUCAAAUGAUAUAUCGCUCAGUUAUGUUCUUUUCCAUACGAUUAUUGCCGUGUUACAUAUGUAAGAAAUAAAGACGAUUUGUCACCAGA